AGUUUGAUCCUGGCUCAGAUUGAAUGCUGGCGGCAUGCCUUACACAUGCAAGUCGAACGGCAGCACGGGAGCAAUCCUGGUGGCGAGUGGCGAACGGGUGAGUAAUACAUCGGAACGUGCCCAGUAGUGGGGGAUAGCCCGGCGAAAGCCGGAUUAAUACCGCAUACGACCUGAGGGUGAAAGCGGGGGAUCGCAAGACCUUGCGCUAUUGGAGCGGCCGAUGUCGGAUUAGCUAGUUGGUGGGGUAAAGGCUCACCAAGGCAACGAUCCGUAGCUGGUCUGAGAGGACGACCAGCCACACUGGGACUGAGACACGGCCCAGACUCCUACGGGAGGCAGCAGUGGGGAAUUUUGGACAAUGGGCGCAAGCCUGAUCCAGCCAUGCCGCGUGCGGGAAGAAGGCCUUCGGGUUGUAAACCGCUUUUGUCAGGGAAGAAACGCUCUGGGCUAAUACCCCGGGGUAAUGACGGUACCUGAAGAAUAAGCACCGGCUAACUACGUGCCAGCAGCCGCGGUAAUACGUAGGGUGCAAGCGUUAAUCGGAAUUACUGGGCGUAAAGCGUGCGCAGGCGGUCCUACAAGACAGAUGUGAAAUCCCCGGGCUCAACCUGGGAACUGCAUUUGUGACUGUAGGGCUGGAGUGCGGCAGAGGGGGAUGGAAUUCCGCGUGUAGCAGUGAAAUGCGUAG
rnacentral:rRNA from 1 species